AGAGUUUGAUCCUGGCUCAGGAUAAACGCUAGCGGCAGGCCUAACACAUGCAAGUCGAACGGUAACAGGUGUAGCAAUACAUGCUGACGAGUGGCGCACGGGUGCGUAACACGUAUGCAACUUACCUAUAACAGGGAAAUAGCCUCGAGAAAUCGAGAUUAAUGUCCCAUAAUAUUACAGAUUCGCCUGUUUUUGUAAUUAAAGCUCCGGCGGUUAUAGAUAGGCAUGCGUGACAUUAGUUAGUUGGUGAGGUAACGGCUCACCAAGACUUCGAUGUCUAGGGGGUCUAAGAGGAUGAUCCCCCACACUGGUACUGAGACACGGACCAGACUCCUACGGGAGGCAGCAGUGAGGAAUAUUGGUCAAUGGACGCAAGUCUGAACCAGCCAUGCCGCGUGCAGGAUGACGGCUCUAUGGGUUGUAAACUGCUUUUAUUCGGGAAGAAACCUUUGCUCGUGAGCGAAGCUGACGGUACUGAAUGAAUAAGCAUCGGCUAACUCCGUGCCAGCAGCCGCGGUAAUACGGAGGAUGCAAGCGUUAUCCGGAUUUAUUGGGUUUAAAGGGUGCGUAGGCGGGAAAAUAAGUCAGUGGUGAAAGCCUGCAGCUCAACUGUAGAAUUGCCAUUGAUACUGUUUUUCUUGAGUACAUUUGAAGUGGGCGGAAUGUGUUGUGUAGCGGUGAAAUGCAUAGAUAUGACACAGAGCACCAAUUGCGAAAGCAGCUCACUAAGUUGUCACUGACGCUGAGGCACGAAAGCGUGGGUAGCAAACAGGAUUAGAUACCCUGGUAGCCCGCGCAGUAAACGAUGAUUACUCGAUAUUGGCAUUGCCAGUGUCUAAGCGAAAGCAUUAAGUAAUCCACCUGGGGAGUACGAUCGCAAGGUUGAAACUCAAAGGAAUUGACGGGGGCCCGCACAAGCGGUGGAGCAUGUGGUUUAAUUCGAUGAUACGCGAGGAACCUUACCAAGGUUUGAAUGUAGAGUGACCGCUCUGGAAACAGAGCUUUUCUUCGGAACAGUCUACAAGGUGCUGCAUGGCUGUCGUCAGCUCGUGCCGUGAGGUGUCGGGUUAAGUCCCAUAACGAGCGCAACCCCUAUCUUAUAGUUGCCAACAGGUAAUGCUGGGGACUCUAUAGAAACUGCCCGCGUAAGCGGUGAGGAAGGUGGGGACGACGUCAAGUCAUCACGGCCCUUACAUCUUGGGCUACACACGUGCUACAAUGGCCGGUACAAAGGGCAGCUACUUGGUGACAAGAUGCUAAUCUCUAAAACCGGUCUCAGUUCGGAUUGAAGUCUGCAACUCGACUUUAUGAAGCUGGAAUCACUAGUAAUCGAAUAUCAGCAAUGAUUCGGUGAAUACGUUCCCGGGCCUUGUACACACCGCCCGUCAAGCCAUGGGAGCUGGGGGUACCUAAAGUCGGUAACCGCAAGGAGCUGCCUAAGGUAAAACUGGUGACUGGGGCUAAGUCGGAACAAGGUA
rnacentral:rRNA from 1 species